rnacentral:rRNA from 1 species
GGUCGAGCAGUCAAAAAUGACACAUGAAGUCGAAGCGCUCUGGGAAGACGCGGCAUAGCAGGUAACACCCCUGUAGACGUAAGUGUGUCACUGCUGAGUGUCACCCCAAGUAGCAGCCAACCCCUGAAAUUGGCUGUGAAUCCGGCGGGACCACCCGCUAAGCC